rnacentral:rRNA from 1 species
UGGGGAAUAUUGGACAAUGGGCGCAAGCCUGAUCCAGCCAUGCCGCGUGAGUGAUGAAGGCCUUAGGGUUGUAAAGCUCUUUCGGCGGGACGAUAAUGACGGUACCCGCAGAAGAAGCCCCGGCUAACUUCGUGCCAGCAGCCGCGGUAAUACGAAGGGGGCUAGCGUUGCUCGGAAUCACUGGGCGUAAAGGGCGCGUAGGCGGACAUUUAAGUCGGGGGUGAAAGCCCAGGGCUCAACCCUGGAAUUGCCUCCGAUACUGGGUGUCUCGAGACCGGAAGAGGUGAGUGGAACUGCGAGUGUAGAGGUGAAAUUCGUAGAUAUUCGCAAGAACACCAGUGGCGAAGGCGGCUCACUGGUCCGGUUCUGACGCUGAGGCGCGAAAGCGUGGUAGCAAAACAGGAUUAGAUACCCUGGUAGUCCACGCCGUAACGAUGGAUGCUAGCCGUUGGCAGGCUUGCCUGUCAGUGGCGCAGCUAACGCUUUAAGCAUCCCGCCUGGGGAGUACGGCCGCAAGGUU